rnacentral:rRNA from 1 species
AUUGAACGCUGGCGGCAGGCCUAACACAUGCAAGUCGAACGGUAACAGGGAUCAGCUUGCUGAUUCGCUGACGAGUGGCGGACGGGUGAGUAAUGUCUGGGAAACUGCCUGAUGGAGGGGGAUAACUACUGGAAACGGUAGCUAAUACCGCAUAACGUCGCAAGACCAAAGAGGGGGACCUUCGGGCCUCUUGCCAUCGGAUGUGCCCAGAUGGGAUUAGCUAGUAGGUGGGGUAACGGCUCACCUAGGCGACGAUCCCUAGCUGGUCUGAGAGGAUGACCAGCCACACUGGAACUGAGACACGGUCCAGACUCCUAUGGGAGGCAGCAGUGGGGAAUAUUGCACAAUGGGCGCAAGCCUGAUGCAGCCAUGCCGCGUGUAUGAAGAAGGCCUUCGGGUUGUAAAGUACUUUCAGCGGGGAGGAAGGGAGUAAAGUUAAUACCUUUGCUCAUUGACGUUACCCGCAGAAGAAGCACCGGCUAACUCCGUG